GGGAAGUGGGUGGCGGGUUCUGGUGCGCCGUGUGCGCGCUCGGAGGUUGGUAGGGAUGAGGUGGCCGUGGCCGGGUUGCUGAGUCCGGUCGGAGCGCGCUCCCUCUCCCCCCACCCCACGGCGGAAGGCGUGCGAGUGCGCGGAGGGGGGGGGGGGUGCAAGAGGAACGCGCGCCUCACGGGCGAGCAAACGAGACGAUACCAGAGCUUCAAGAAAGCAGAGCUACCAAAACUAAAUUGGAUUGACCCAAAGACAUGAUUAUUUCAGGAUCUCAUGGACUGACUUCCUUUAGGCACACUCUGAUUGCUGCACAGGAAAUGACAUCAUCAUAUGCUAGUCCAACACAGAAAACAGUUCAUUCCAAGAAGUGGCCAGUGGAAUUUCUGGCAUUCUAUGAAUUGGGUCAAUGACCAUCAUAUCUGCAUUUCACUCUGGAAAAAUAUCAUUUGGAUAUACAUCUGCAGACCCUAAAGCUCCAACUUUGGUCAGAAAGAAACUGGCAGUACAUGACUUGAGACAUCACUAGGUAUACGACACAUGCCACAUAAACACCAGAGAUUCUGAAUGAAUUGGACACAGUGGAAUCCCCGACGACCUCCUGCCAGAUAUGAAUGGUUAUACCGCUGCAGGCUCUCCAUUGCACCCUGCACAUUCUCCUAUGCGAAUAAAAGGUGAAACUGAUUCUCCCACCUACACAAUCUGGCCGGUCUGAAAACAAAGUGAAACUUAAUGAGCUGAUGAAAGGUUUGUUAUUCAUAGCAAGGAUGAUCAUAGAUUACAGGAUGAUACGUAUCAGCUGGUAAAAGUCAGCAAAAUCAAAGGCAGAUGAAACUUCAUUCUGGUAAGUGUGAAAUGAAAAACCUUAGAAGAACUAAUAAAAGCAGUGCACACACAACACAUAGCAGCACCUUAGGAAGUAUUGAGGAAAAGAGUUCAAGCUUCACUGAAUGUGACAGCUCAAUAAGGAGGUGACAAAGGCAAUCAGGAUAUUUAUAUUUGAUGCUCAUGAUAAUAAGAGUGGUGACAUUAUAAAAUGUUGCUUAGGCCACAGCUAGAACUUUGUGUCUAAUUCUAGAACAUUAUAGGAAGGCCAUGAUUACACUGCAGAAGGUACAGAGCAGAUUCAUCAAGAGGUUGCCUUGGAUAGAGCAUUUGAAUUAUCAGUAGGCUGAUAAAGCUGGAUUGGCUUUUCAUAGAGCAGAGGGCCUGAUAGAGUUAUACAAGAUUAAUGUGGGCAUGGAAACCACAGAUAGUAGGAAACUUACUCCUUGGCAAUGGCAUCUAAAACUAGCAUGCAUAGACUUAAGGUGAGUACAAUAACCUUUAGAGGGGAAUUUUUUUUCACCUGGAACCUGGAAUGUUGGGCCUCAGUGGGUAAGGGAGUUGAGUACUCCCAGAACCUUUAAUAAGUACUUCAGAAUCAGUAUCAGUUUAAUAUUACCAGCAUAUGUCGUAAAAUUUGUUGGCUUUGCUGCAACAGUACAAUGCAAUAUAUAAUAAUAGGAAAAAACAUGAAUCAUAGUAAAUAUAUAUGUGUAUAUAAAAUAGAUAAAUUAAAUAAUUAGGCAAAAAAUAUAAAUAAAAAAGUACUGAGGUUCAAUGGGUUCAAUGUCCAUUCAGAAAUCUGAUGGCAGAGGGGAAGAAGUUGUACCUGAAUUGUUGAGUGAGUGUCUUCAGGCUUCUGUACCUCUUCCUGAUGGCAGCAAAGAGGGUAAGACACGACCAGUGUGAUGGGGAUUCCUUAAUGACGGACGCCACCUUUCUGAGGCAUCGCUCCUUAAAGAUGUCCUGUUUACUACGGAGGCCAAUGCCCAUGAUGGAGCUAGACAAGCACUUGAAUCACCAAUGUUUCAGACUAUGUGUUAGAAACACAGAAAGCCUACAGCACAAUACAGGCCCUUCAGCCCACAAAGCUGUGCUGAACACGUACUUACCUUAGACAUUACCUAGGGUUAUCCAUAGCCCUCUAUUUUUCUAAGGUCCACCUACCUAUCCAGGAGUCUCUUAAAGGACCCUAUCAUUUCCGCCUCCACCACCAUCACCGGCAGCCCAUUCCACGCACUCAUCACUCUCUGUGUAAAAAAACUUACCGCUGACAUCUCCUCUGUACCUACUUCCAAGCACCUUAAAACUAUGCCCUCUCGUGCUAGCCAUUUCAGCCCUGGGAAAAAGCCUCUAUCUACAUGAUCAAUGCCUCUCAUCACCUUAUCAGGUCACCUCUCAUCCUCCGUCGCUCCAAGGAGAAAAGGCCGAGUUCACCCAACCUAUUCUCAUAAGGCAUGCUCCCCAAUCCAGACAGCAUCCUUGUAAAUCUCCUCUGCACCCUUUCUAUGGCUUCCACAUCCUUCCUGUAAUGAGGCGACCAGAACUGAGCACAGUACUCCAAGUGGGGUCUGACCAGGGUCCUAUAAAGCUGCAACAUUACCUCUCGGCUCCUAAACUCAAUCCUGCGAAUGAUGAAGGCCAAUGUACCGUAUGCCUUCUUAACCACAGAGUGUUGGUAAAUAGGAUUAGUAUUCAGGGGUUCCCAAGCUGGGGUCCACAGACACCCUGGUUAAUGGUAAGACUCCAUGGUGUAAAAAAGUUUGGGAACCCCGAUUGGCUUAAAGGGCCCAUGAGAAGUAUGACUUAAUGAUCAAAAAGAUUAAUACAAGCAAUUACUGAUGAUUGUUAUAACACAUUUUCCUUUACAUCACACCUGACUACUAGCCUCAGUCAUGAUUGCGUGACUACAAAAUUCCUUUUGAUCAACAGACUAAUUAAAGUAUCUUAGUCAUCCUAUUCUCUGUACAGCAAAAACACCAGCAUGGAAAUGGUGUAACACAAUAUGGUCAGCACUGAAUUAUUUAUGUAGUUAUUUGAAUUAGGCAAUAUAAGGUUUAAUGUCACACUAUAGAAAAGAACACCAUGAUCAUGAAUAAUUAUGAUAUGGGUCGUCAGAUGGUCAUAAGAGGAGCCUCAAAGCUAAAGUGUAUAUUCUGAGAAAUUAAUUCCUGAAGUUGACCCUCACGGUUUAUGUGCCAGACAUCAAGUAUUUUGUAUGUCAUGGUACUCAGUUAAUUUUAAUUGAGGGCAAUAAACAAUUGGCUAAAUUGUCAGUCAUAGAACAACCAACAAGACUAUUUUACAAUGUUUAAAUAUACUUCCACCCCUUGGAACCACUGUACCCACAACUCUUUCUUCCUAACAGGACCUGCUGAAGUACAAACCCAGAAAUGUUGUGAGCAACCUGACCAAUGUUGGAUGCUGGUUCACACACCAGAACAGAAGAUCUCUUCACCCAGGCACCGCAGAUGAAAAGAAAUAAUGCAGAAUACUACCUUGCAGUGUUCGAUCUAUAGCCCUGCAGGUCUUCAAGUGACGCUUAAAUGUGCUGGUAGUUUCUGCCCCCACGACUCUUUCAGACCGUGAGCUCCCAACUUCUACUAUCCUCUGGGUUAAUCCUGCUACCAAUUACUUUAAAUCAAGGCCAUCUUGUUAGCAACCCCUCUCCCAAGAGGAAUAUGUCCUUUCUACUUACUUUGUUUUCCAUCAUAUUUAGGUCUCUUCUCAGUCUCCUUUAUUCAUAAACAAAACCCACAUUAUCCAAUCUUUACUCCCUGCUAAAAUUGUUCAACCCUGACAUCUGCCUCUGCAUCCUUUCCAGUAAUGUGAUGACCACAACAGUACGUUGUACCCAAACGACAGUGCUUAUACAGUUCUUGUAGAAAAAAUUUGCUCAUCCAUGUACUACUUUGGCUAGCACAAGAAUCCAUUCCAUAUGCUUUCUUGACCACUUUGGUAACUGAAUUUAAGGAUGUGUGGACAGUUCUAUCUGUUGCACGCCUCUCAAUAUUCUCCCAUUUCCUCUUUUCUUAAUUUGUGGGACCUGGAUACCACCAACAAUCACAUCCAAUCAUCAUUGCUCCUGAACCAAGGAGUGAGUUGUGAGUCAGUCAUAUUGGUGGAUCUGGAGUCAUGUAAAGGCCUGAGAAUAUAAAGAGAGGGGACUUCCUUCCCUGAGGACCUAACUGCUUUCAAGAUCAUUCAGUGGGUUUGUGGAUGCUACUACCAAGACCAGCUUUAAAUAAUUACUUGAACUUAAAUUUCCCAGCUACCAUGGUGGGAUUCAAACUUACAAGUGUGGAACAGGAUUCAGACCUCCUGCUGCUGGUCUAGAAACCUCAAUCAUUCUGCUACCGAUAUAAGUUACAAAGAGUCACAUGUCAGAUUCUCAGAGCCCAAACUUGCAAAUGAACUACAAUGAAUCUGACAAUGGUUGACACCAAGCAAUUUCAGGCAUCUGCACAAGCCAGUUAAAUGUGGAACUUUAGAAGUUGCUGUUGGGAUAAACCCUCCUCCACAGGGCAUGCUAUUUCGAAUUGGGCGAAUGCAGUCAAUGCAGAAUCAGUAGUGUAGUGUGAACUUUGAUUUUUUUUCCUGUACCAUUUUCAAUAUAAAACCAUUGAAAAUGUUAUGAAUUGCUGACUGAGGUUUCAUUGAAAUGCACAACUGCAUAAUUGUAGAAUAGCCGCUGUAACCCUGAAAAAAAUAUUUUCAGGGGUGGGUAGAUGUAAUUUGGCAUUUGAAAACUCCAUUUGAUUGCACCCGAUGGGGUGUGGAGGAGAUUUACAAAUACGUUGGCAGGAAUGGAGAAUUUAAACAAUGAUGAAAGAUUGGACAGCCAGGAUCUCUUUCUCUGGAAUUGUCAAAACUUAAUACAUUUGUAUAAAAUUGUGAGGAACCCAGGUAAAGAGAAAAGCCCAAUUGCCUUUCGAGUAAGGGUGAAAAACCAUGGGGAAGAAAUUUCAAGUAACUAGUGGAGGGAUUAGAUGGAGAUAAGAAAGACAGAAUUUGGUAAUCAUUUGAAAUGUACUGUCUGAAAGGGUGGUAGAGACAGAAAUAUCAACCAUACUUACAAAGUACUUUGAUAUUUGUAGAGCCAUGACCAGCAGGUGGAACCUACUGGAAAUGGAUUGGGGAGUUCAUUUCCAUCUGAUGCAAGAAUGAAGGACCACAUGGCCUCCUACAGUGCGGUACAUUUUCUAGGGUUGUACUUUAUAAAAUUUCUUUAUGAAGUUUCAAUUUUUACCUUAAACAUGCAUGUGUUACUCAAUCUUAAUUUAGCUUUUCAUAAAAAGUUUCUGGUAAUUACCGUAUAAAAAUCAAUGUUCUUCACUUCUUGCUUUCAGGCCUAUUGACAACUCAAUUUCAUGACAUCAGUGUUGCUGGCUAAGACCAUAAAAUGCAGGAGCAGAAUUAGGCCUUUUGGCCCAUCAAGUCUGCUUUGCCAUUCAACACCCUUUGGCUCUGGAAAUUCCUCAUUGCUCUUCUAAAUGGAUGUCCCUCAAUUCUCAAUGUCCCUCAAUGCCCUCUGGUCCUAGACUCCCCCGCUACAGGAAACAUCCUCUCCACAUCCAUUCCAUUUAGGCCUUUCAGUAUUCAAUAGGUUUCAAUGAGAUCCCCCCUCAUUCUUCUAAACUCCUGUGAGUAAAUGCCCACAGUCAUCAGAUGUUAACCCUUUCAUUCCUAGAAUCAUUCUCAUGAACCUCCUCUGGACCCUCUCUGAUCCCCAAAACAGUUCACAAUAUUCCAUCUGAUGCAAACACAACGGAUCAAAUAGAUCAAAUAGUACUGUAUAUUUUCUGUGUGACAGAUGCUCCGCAAUUUCAUGUCACAGUGGAAAAGGAGAAAUCCAUGUCACAGAACCCAGUUAAUCUUUGUGACUGGAGUCAAGGUCAGUGAUGAGAUUAUCCCUUUGGCAAUCAAUACAAAAUCCAGGACAAUGAUUUCAAAAUUACCCUUUCUGGUCCUGUAAUAGAUGACUGCAAACCACAGUAGGAGACAUAAAGCGGAUUAUCAAGGAACCCAAAAUUAGAACUUACAAUGAUGCAGAUUAUAAAAGGAGAAAAAAAGAUCUAUUGUGGUUUUAUGAACUCUGAUAUAAUCCAUAUAACGAUAUUAAGAACUCAAACUUGAGUAUUUUGAUUUUUAAAAAAAUAAAAAUUGCGCAAUAUUAUAGUGACCUAAAGCACAAGAUUCUUCUCUAACAAAUAAGAAAUGUGCUGUAAACACAACCUGAAAAAUGUUAAAUCAUUUCAGGAACUUUGACCUAUUGUAACUUAUGUUAUAUUUUAAAAAUCUGUCAACAUUUAAAAAUUAUGAUUUGUCCUAAGAUGCAUUAGAUAUGGAAUAAAUAUUUUAAGUUCGGGAUCUCCUAUUUGUGAUUAUGUAAUCUGUGUGAUCAGCAUGUGGUGUAAAACAACAGAAGAUGUAUUGUUUUCAAUAAUUAUUCCACCUGUUCCUCUGAUUUAGAAGGGGAAUGAAUAUAAUGAAUAAUGAAUGAUGAAAUAUUUCCUCUGCUUGAAGAUUACUUUGCAUUUGACAAUGAAUAAUUUCAAUAAAUAGGAGUUCAAAAUGAAAAUUGGAACUGGAAAAACUGGAAUUUAGAAGAUUGAGGGGGGAGAUCUUAUUGAAACAUAUAAAAUUCUAAAGGGAUUGGACAAGCUAGAUGCAGGAAAAUUGUUUCUGAUGUUGGGGAAAUCCAGAACGAGGGGGUCACAGUUUAAGGAUAAAGGGGAAGCCUUUUAGGACCGAGAUGAGGAAAAACUUCUUCACACAGAGAGUGGUGAAUCUGUGGAAUUCUCUGCCACAGGAAACAG